GCCUUCGGGGUGUAAUUGGAAACGUGCUCGCCGCGUAAUCCAGAAGUCCAGGGUUCGACUCCCAGCGAAGGCA
rnacentral:tRNA from 1 species